ACGCUCGACACCUACUGGAGGCAGCAGUGGGGAAUAUUGCACAAUGGGGGAAACCCUGAUGCAGCGACGCCGCGUGGAGGAAGAAGGUCUUCGGAUUGUAAACUCCUGUUGUUGGGGAAAAAGAGGAUGGUACCCAACAAGGAAGUGACGGCUAACUACGCGCCAGCAGCCGCGGUAAUCUGAGCGGGCUGGCAAGGC
rnacentral:rRNA from 1 species